rnacentral:tRNA from 2 species
GUGGCCUUGGUAUAACGGUUAUUACGUGAGAUUGUGGAUCUCGCAACACGGGUUCAACUCCCGUAGGCCACC